ACUGACUGACACCACACACCCCUUAAAUGCGCACCUCCUCUGACUCUCCUCCUCAUGCACACACUCACCAUGCUGUCGUAGUGGAUCAGCUCCAGCUCGUAGUCAGGCAGGAUGUCGCUCCUGUUGUUCACCAGGUCCAGGGCCAUCUGAGCGGAGGGCAUGCACGCCUGCCCACCCGGCCAGCCUCCACUCAUGGGGAAUAGAGCUCCGAUGUACAGCUUUUUCUUUCCUGCGGACGGCCAAGGCCAGGAGAGGAGGAGAAGGACGAUGAAAGAAGCCCGGAGAUACAUCGCAUACUUUCGGGCAGAGUGAGCAACCCGCGGGGGAUUUCUGCAAAGUGCCUGCAUGGUUCAAGAUGUGGCCUGUAUCAGAUUCCUGGUGUACAACUGCCCCGCAUUCACAAAAGAACAAGACCCACCGGCAGACCCGAGACCUCUGUAGCGGAUCCCCCCAUCCCUAGGAGGCCGGAUGAUACCACAGCCUGAAAAAAGAGAAGAGAAGACAGAAUGAAGGACGACAGAAGCGGAGGGAAAGCUCUGCCUCCAGAUAAUGUUGGCAGCCGCAUCCACUCGAUCUGUUCCAGUUGCGCCACUGCUGCAGGCUCCGCCCUCUUGCUUGACUCUGACGUCAGACUCGGCUCCGACGGGAGGACUCCGCCCGCCGCACACAGUGAGGCAGCCUCCCUCCGCCUGGUCCCUCCCCCUCUGAGCGUGGAUCUGCUCGCUGAUUUGUUCCAGGUUUCGCAGGGCGAUGGAGUAGCGUGCCUUCACUUUAGCGACGUGCUGCUCCAGCUGCAUCACCUUGGUCUUGCUCUCCUGGAGUCACAGAGGACACAGCAACUUUCCUCAUCAGUUUCAACAUUGAUUUCAUGCCAUAACA